ACAAGCGGUGGAGCAUGUGGUUAAUUCGAAGCAACGCGAAGAACCUUACCAGGUCUUGACAUCCCUGACAACCCGAGAGAUCGGGCGUUCCCCUUCGGGGGACAGGGUGACAGGUGGUGCAUGGUUGUCGUCAGCUCGUGUCGUGAGAUGUUGGGUUAAGUCCCGCAACGAGCGCAACCCUCGACCUUAGUUGCCAGCAUUCAGUUGGGCACUCUAAGGUGACUGCCGGCUAAAAGUCGGAGGAAGGUGGGAUGACGUCAAAUCAUCAUGCCCCUUAUGACCUGGGCUACACACGUGCUACAAUGGGCGGUACAAAGGGAAGCAAGGCCGCAAGGUAGAGCUAAUCCCUAAAGUCGUCCUCAGUUCGGAUUGCAGGCUGCAACUCGCCUGCAUGAAGUCGGAAUCGCUAGUAAUCGCAGAUCAGCAUGCUGCGGUGAAUACGUUCCCGGGUCUU
rnacentral:rRNA from 1 species